AUAAUAUUAUAGAUAUUUUUUCUGAACGUUUUUCGAUCAAACUCACGUAAACGGUGGAAAAUGUAAACAGAUACUAUUAUCUCUACUCGAAUCCUAAUUUAAGAAUAUAAUGCGAGUCCGCCAAACAUCCGAUAACCGAUAUACUGUGCUUACUGUUUAUACUGCAUCACUUACAUUAUACGUACAUACGACGGAAUAAGGGUAAAAUAUUGAAAUUGCCGAAAGGCGAUUCAUUCUAUUAUAUUAUAAUUCUUGUCGGAAAACCCCAGAGUUUACACCGAAAUUCUUGGCGUAUUCCGAUAUAAUCGGGGCUGGUUCGGCGCGAUAAAAGAAUCGCUCUGUAUACGCGCGCAUAAAAUAUAUAAUAUAUAAAUACAGAGUGGCGUCCCACCGUGCUCUGCGGAUGUGUAUUAUACAGUCUAUAUACAGUGUGUAAAAAAUCGGUAGAACACGUUACGACACCCUGUA